UACGUAGGGGGCAAGCGUUAUCCGGAAUCACUGGGCGUAAAGGGUGCGUAGGUGGCUUAUCAAGCCAGGGGUGAAAGGCAUUGGCUCAACCAAUGUAAGCCUUUGGAACUGAUAGGCUUGAGUGCAGGAGAGGUAAGUGGAAUUCCUAGUGUAGAGGUGAAAUUCGUAGAUAUUAGGAGGAACACCAGUGGCGAAGGCGACUUACUGGACUGUAACUGACACUGAGGCACGAAAGCGUGGGUAGCGAACA
rnacentral:rRNA from 2 species